AAGCGCCAAAGCCCAUUGGCCCCACCGGCCACCGCGCAUAAGCCCCCGCAACAACAGCCAAUUGCAAAUCCCCCCAACUUGAAGCAGUGGAGCUCAAAUUUCGUUCCGAUUCUAGGGGGGAUCGAGCAGCGAGCGGACUCCCCUCGCUUUACCGCCGCGCUUGGCCGCCGCCGAGGGCCGGUGGAUCGCGGUGUCGGGGGACUCGGCGUGAGGGGAAGCGGCGGGAGGCGUGGUCCACCUCGUCAGGCCGGUGCCUACUCCCAGCGAGGGCACCGCCAGGACGACGCGCCACCGUGAUCUCGGCGGCUCCGGACCUCCGGUUGUCUUCUCGAACCGAUAUUGGCAUGAGCACGGUCGGUUGGUGCACUCUGGAGAGGGAUGAUGAAGAAUGAACCUGUACAGCCAUCCUGGACGUAUGGAUUUCCAUGGAAGCCAGAAAUACACUUGCAACGGUACCCCAUAAAUAUUUCCCCGUGGGUGACAUUUAGGCAGUAGCUGUGGAUACUGCGGCAUGCAUAUGCAGUGUUUUUUUGCACAGCUGUUUCGCAAGUUAAAUUGGCAGCCGCCCACUUCACUUGAAAAACGCUGUAUUCUAUAGAGAGACCAUACUGGUCUUCCAGUGGGCCUGAGAAUGUUGAACCAUCGUUGGUGGUACGAACUAUUUCCUCUUUCCCAUAGUUUGUGUCGUUUAGCAUGUUGCUAACAGUUAGAGUCCCAUCUUCCAAAGAAACACUAGUCACAUGAUAUUGCAUAUAUCCUAUUUUGGUAACAGUGAGGUUGCCUUCUGUGCAAUUAAGCCUAAAUCUUUCAUCUGCAAAACAACCUUCUUCGACCCCGAAAGGGAAAGGAAUGUUUAUGUCUCCACAGGAUGUUGAACAAUGUUCUUUACUCUGGGGCUUAUAACCUGCUCCACCAUAGUUUAAAAAUAGAUAACAUGAACAAGAUAAAAGUUAGCUACAGUGUCAGUGCAUUAUAUUUUGCUUUGUUUUGAAGGAAAAAAAAGGGCAGGCGCAGGAAGUACCUGUGCAUCCAUCUAAAAGGUAAGGAUUCCCC
rnacentral:lncRNA from 1 species